rnacentral:rRNA from 1 species
GACGAACGCUGGCGGCGUGCCUAAUACAUGCAAGUCGAGCGAAUCACUAGGAGCUUGCUCCUGGUGGUUAGCGGCGGACGGGUGAGUAACACGUGGGCAACCUGCCUGUAAGACUGGGAUAACACCGGGAAACCGGUGCUAAUACCGGAUAAUCCUUUUCCUCUCAUGAGGAAAAGCUGAAAGUCGGUUUCGGCUGACGCUUACAGAUGGGCCCGCGGCGCAUUAGCUAGUUGGGGAGGUAACGGCUCACCAAGGCGACGAUGCGUAGCCGACCUGAGGGGGUGAUCGGCCACACUGGGACUGAGACACGGCCCAGACUCCUACGGGAGGCAGCAGUGGGGAAUCUUCCACAAUGGACGAAAGUCUGACGGAGCAACGCCGCGUGAGCGAUGAAGGCCUUCGGGUCGUAAAGCUCUGUUGUUAGGGAAGAACAAGUACCGGAGUAACUGCCGGUACCUUGACGGUACCUAACCAGAAAGCCACGGCUAACUACGUGCCAGCCGCCGCCGUAACAC